GUUCUUCUUUUAGAUGGUCGUUAAUUUACUACGGAUAUUGUAGUUUUAGACACGGUCAAGUUUGAAUGUCAUCGCUACGUGUUUACAGAUGUGCGCGCCUACUUAUUGUGUUUCAUACAGACAAUCAGAACAGGGGUGUCAUAAGUUUGACGUCCACGUCUGUAUGUAUGGUUGUACACAUAGCUCUCAAACGGCUUGGCCGAUUUCGAUGCAGUUUUCUUCAUUUGAAAGUAACUAAGGAAAUUGUCGGAUAUUCCAGUAAAGAUAAGAUUUUGACAAAAAAUGGUCAGAGGGAAAUAUAUCUUUGGCGUUGUGAUACAUUACGG